rnacentral:rRNA from 1 species
AGAGUUUGAUCCUGGCUCAGAAUGAACGCUGGCGGCAUGGAUUAGGCAUGCAAGUCGAGCGGUCCAUUGCGCUUCGGCGCGAUGAACAGCGGCGAAAGGGUGAGUAACACGUGAGUAACCUGCCCCCGAGUUCGGGAUAGCCCCGGGAAACCGGGAUUAAUACCGGAUGAUGUUUUCACUUCGCAUGGAGUGUUUACCAAAGAUUCAUCGUUUGGGGAUGGGCUCGCGUCCUAUUAGCUUGUUGGUGGGGUAAUGGCUCACCAAGGCUGAGACGGGUAGCUGGUCUGAGAGGAUGGUCAGCCACACUGGGACUGAGACACUGCCCAGACUCCUACGGGAGGCUGCAGUCGAGAAUCUUCCACAAUGGGCGAAAGCCUGAUGGAGCAAUGCCGCGUGAGGGAUGACGGCUUUCGGGUUGUAAACCUCUGUCACCCGGGACGAAGAAUGUGACGGUACCGGGAGAGGAAGCCACGGCUAACUACGUGCCAGCAGCCGCGGUAAUACGUAGGUGGCGAGCGUUAUUCGGAUUUACUGGGCGUAAAGGGUCCGCAGGGGGUUUGUCGAGUCUGAUGUGAAAGCCCACAGCUCAACUGUGGAACUGCAUUGGAUACUGGCGAACUAGAGUGCACGAGGGGUGAGCGGAAUUCCUGGUGUAGCGGUGGAAUGCGUAGAUAUCAGGAAGAACACCGAUGGCGAAGGCGGCUCACUGGCGUGCUACUGACCCUCAUGGACGAAAGCGUGGGUAGCGAACAGGAUUAGAUACCCUGGUAGUCCACGCUGUAAACGUUGUGCACUAGAUGUGGGGGGAUCUGAUCCCUUCCGUGUCCAAGCUAACGCGUUAAGUGCACCGCCUGGGGACUACGGCCGCAAGGCUAAAACUCAAAGGAAUUGACGGGGGCCCGCACAAGCGGUGGAGCAUGUGGCUCAAUUCGAGGCAACGCGAAGAACCUUACCUGGGCUUGACAUAAUCCUGACCUCCUCCGAAAGGAGGCUUCCCUUCGGGGCAGGAUUACAGGUGCUGCAUGGCUGUCGUCAGCUCGUGCCGUGAGGUGUUCGGUUAAGUCCGGCAACGAGCGCAACCCGUGUCGUCAGUUGCCAUCACGUAAUGGUGGGGACUCUGGCGAGACUGCCCGUGUCAAGCGGGAGGAAGGCGCGGACGACGUCAAGUCCGUAUGGCCCUUACGCCCAGGGCUGCACACGUGCUACAAUGGGCGGUACAAUGAGACGCAAAGCCGCGAGGUGGAGCAAAUCUGUUAAAACCGUCCUCAGUUCGGAUUGGAGUCUGCAACUCGACUCCAUGAAGCCGGAAUCGCUAGUAAAGGGGUAUCAGCAACGGCCCCUUGAAUACGUUCCCGGGCCUUGUACACACCGCCUGUCACAUCAUGGAAGCCGGCUGCACCCGAAGUCCACGACCCAACUCUUCGGAGAGGGAGUGGCCGAAGGUGUGUCCAGUGACUGGGAUGAAGUCGGAACAAGGUA